AUGGUAGUGUCUUCCAGAAAUACUCUCACAGGCACACCCAGGACAAAUGUUCUACCAGCUAUCUGGGCGUUGCUUAGGCCAGUCAAGUUGACACAUAAAAUUAACCAACGAAGUAAUUCUAACAAAGAUUUAUAACCAGAUUACACUCUUCUGAAGCUAAAGAACUGCUAAUGGAGAUAGCAGUCAUCAGUUACUGUGAUAGUUAAUGUUGAGUGUCAACUUGAUUGGAUUGAAAAAUGUGAAGUAUUGUUUCUGGGUGUGUCAGUGAGGGUGCUGCCAAAAGAGAUUAACAUUUGAGUUAGUGGACUAAGAAAGGCAGACCCACUCUCAAUCUGGGUGGGCACCAUCUAAUCGGCUGCCAACAUGGCUAGGAUAAAAGCAGGCAGAGGAAUGUGGAAGGACUAAACUGGCAGAAUCUUCUGGCCUCCAUCUUUCCCCUGUGCUGGAUGCUUCCUGCCCUCAAACAUCGGACUCCCAAGUUCUUCAGCUUUUGGACUCUUGGACUUACAUCACUGAUUUGCCAGGGGCUCUGAGGCCUUUGGCCACAGGCUGAAGGCUGCACUAUCAGCUUCCCUACUUUUAAAGUUUUGGGACUUGGAAUUGCUUCCUGGCUCCUCAGCUUGCAGACAGCCUAUUGUGGGACUUCACCUUAUGAUCAUGCCUUCAAUGGAUUGCACGAAGCCCAACCAUACUGGGGAAGGCAAUCUACUUCACUCAGUCUACACAAUAACUCCCUUCUUUUUCUGCUGAUUCAGAGGAAGCUAACUCUACAGCAGAAGCAGUGAGUCACAAGGACAAGAACCAAAUGAUAUGGACGACCCCAUCACAACAACUCAAGCUGGUGUAAACAUUCUCACAUGGCAUGAGAAUGAAACAUAAUGCAGUGCUCCCUCUCCCCAGACCUGGGUCACAUUCCUCUAUGGAUUAAAUGCAAUAGCAGUUAGGUUUUAAUUGCAUUCCUUUGAGCAAUGUCAUUUAUUUUACCUGUUGUUUACCAUUAAAUUUAUGUCCUGGAAGAUGUUGAUAAAACUACAAGAAGGAAAGUAUCCUUUUGCUAUGGUUUGAAUAGCAAACCAAAAUUUGUGUUGAAAUUUUAUCCCAAAUGUGGCAGAGAAUUAGUCCAUUCUCAUGCUGCUAAUAAGGACAUACCCAAGACUCGGUAAUUGAUAAAGGAAAGAUGUUUAAUUGACUCACAGUUCAGCAUGGUUGGGGAGGCCUCAGAAAACUUACAAUCAUGGUGGAAGGGGAACCAAACACGUCCUCCUUCACAUGGUGGCAAGAGAGACAAGUGCAGAGAAAAGGAGGGGAAAGCCCCUUAUAAAAUCAUCAACUCUCAUGAGAACUCACUCACUAUCAUCAGAACAGCAUGGAGGUAACCGCCCCCAUGAUUCAAUUACCUCCCACUAAGUCCUUCCCAUGACCCAUGGGGAUUAUAGGAUACCUGAGAACUUUGACAUGUUUCUGACAUGCCCUGAAAACAGCUGCCACAUUGCCUCAGUGAUUAACAUUCGGCUCCUCAUCACAUAUGCAAAUUUCAGCAGCCGGCUUGAAUUUCUCCCAAGAAAAUGGGUUUUUCUUUUCUGUCACAUAAUCAGGCUGCAAAUUUUCCAAACUUUUAUGCUCUGCUUCCUCUUGAACACCUUGCCACUUAGAAAUUGCUUCUGUCAGAUUCCCUAAAUCAUCUCUCUCAAGUUUAAAGUUUCACAGAUCUCUAGGGCAGGGGCAAAAUGCCGCCAGUCUCUUUGCAUAGCAAGAGUGACAUUUACUCCAGUUUCCAACAAGUUCCUCAUCUCCAUCUGAGACCACCUCAGCCUGGACUUUAUUGCCCAUAUCACUAUCAGCAUUUUAGUCAAAGCCAUUCGACAAGUCUCUAGGAAGUUCCAAACUUUCCCACUUCUUCCUGCCUUCUUAGCCCUCCAAGUCUCUAAGAGUUUCCAAACUUUCCCACAUUUUCCUGUCUUCUGAGCCCUCCAAAUGGUUUCAACCUCUGCCUGUUACCCAGUUCCAAAGUUACUUCCACAUUUUCAGGUACCUUUACAGCAGCGCCCCACUCUCUGUGGUACCAAUUUACUGUAUUAGUCCCUUCUCCCACCUCUAUAAGGACAUAUCUGAGACUGGGUAAUUUAUAAAGGAAGGAGGUUUAAUUGACUCACAGUUCCACAGGGCGGGGGAGGCCUCAAGAAACUUACAAUCAUGGUGGAAGGGGAAGCAAACACGUCCUUCUUCACAUGGCAGCAGGAGAUGUGCAGAGAGAAGUGGGGGAAAGCCCCUUCUAAAACCAUCAGAUCUCAUGAGAUCUCAUCAGAUCUCAUAAGAACUCACUCAAUAUCAUAAGAACAUGAUAUGGAGGUAACCGCUGCCAUGAUUCAAUUACCUCCCAUGGGGUUUUUUCCAUGACAUGCAGGGAUUAUGGGAGCUACAAUUCAGUAUGAGAUUUAGGUGCGGACACAGCCAAAACCAUAUCAGGCAGUAUUGAGAAGUGAAGCAUUUAAGAGGUGAUUGGGUCAUGAGGGCUCUGCCCUCAUGAAUGACUUAGUCUAUUCACAGAUUAAUGAAAUAGUGAGUUAUCAUUGGAAGGGAACUGUGGCUAUAUAGGAAAAGGAAGAAAAACCUAAGCUAGCAUGUUAGCGCACUCAGCCCCCUUGCCACGUGAUGCUCUGCACUGCCUCAGGACUCUGCAGCAUCCCCAUUAGCAAGAAAAUGUGGCAUAUAUACACCACGG
rnacentral:lncRNA from 10 species